GACGAACCGUGCGAACGUUGUUCGGAAUCACUGGGCUUAAAGGGCGCGUAGGCGGCCCGCCGCGUCCGGGGUGAAAUCCUCCCGCUCAACGGGAGGACGGCCUCGGAUACGGGCGGGCUGGAGGGGGGUAGGGGCACGCGGAACUGUGGGUGGAGCGGUGAAAUGCGUUGAGAUCCACAGGAACUCCGGUGGCGAAGGCGGCGUGCUGGACCCCACCUGACGCUGAGGCGCGAAAGCCAGGGGAGCGAACGGGAUUAGAUACCCCGGUAGUCCUGGCCCUAAACGAUGAGGACUAGGUAGUAGCCCGGGUAUGGGGUUACUGCCGGAGCGAAAGUGCUAAGUCCUCCGCCUGGGGAGUAUGGUCGCAAGGCUGAA
rnacentral:rRNA from 1 species